UUAAGAGAACCUCCCUUGCAGAAUAGUUUUUCCCUAUUAGUAAAACCUAAUAGAAAAGAUUUACAGAAAAUCUUUUAGAAAACUAAGUGUAAAGGUUGACAAAGUUUACUCAGAUUAUGCUUUUCAGAAAGAUAACAAUUACAGACUUCAAGUUUUAGAUUUCAAAUUUUAGAAGUAACCUCUUUCUACACUUAGACAGUAUAAUUUAUGAAUAUAAUACGAGUAUAGCUUUUAGAACUAAAUUUUAUGAGUCACUAGUUUUAUAAAAUAUGAUUGAUUUAUUAUUCAUGAUUUCAGUAUUUCAAAUAUUCCAGCUCAUGUGAGUCAUUUAUAUUUAGCAUACAUUGUUAAAUAAAUUAUGAUGAUUAGAUGAUGUUUUACUGAUUCAUUUCACCCCUGUAUACUUAAUACAUCCUUAAAUUACUGAUCCACAUAUAUGUCUAUGUGCUAUAUUUUCUCAUAAUGUAGGUUUAGGUGCUCAGUAUCAGCAGCGUGAGUAGUUGGAGCAUCUCUAUCUACAUCCUACAGUUGGUGUGUCCUCAUAGUUCGGGGACUUGUUCACUCAAAUUUUGCAGCUUAUCAGUUUACAUGAUUUAGUAUUCUUUUCAGAUAGUUUGAGUUAGCUGGGGGUUUGUCCUAGUGACUCUCUAGAUGUAAGUAGUAGAGGCUUGUCAGACUAUUAGUUGUGAUUCAGCUUAUUUCAUAUUGAUGUUUCAUACAUUAUAUUCAUAUUACUCUUAGUUAUUUCAGAUAGCUUCUGCAUUCAGUAUGCUUUCAUGUCUAUGUUACCUUGAUUAUGAGAUUUAUAUCUAAUAGAAGGCAGACAGGGUUAUAUUAAGUCUACUCAUAGUCUUGAGCACUUGUUACAUCUCAUGAUCAGAUUUCAGGGCAUUACAGAUAGUCUGAAAAACUCUAAAAAUCAUAAGGAGUUGAUGGGACAAAUCCCCAACCACCUUCGACCAACUAAACUUAAAGAAAUACUAAACUAACUAUAAUAACUCACAUUCUCGAUUGAUGAAGACUCACCACUACUGCUCCUAAGUCAUAGUGAGCUAACUAAGAGCGAUUCGUCUAAACUUAUGUUAUAAGACAACACAAUGCAAAAGAAAAAUAUUUUAUCUAUACUUUGAAUGUACUGGUACUAAGGUAAGGUCAAACUAAAUUACAUAAGAAAACUGAACGUGGAUACAUGAAUAUGAAAUAGUAAGAAUUCAACACCAAGUAAAAUAUGAACUAAGAUAAUCUGUAUAACAUGAGUAACUAAAUGUCUGACAACUGUGCCCUCGGUCAUUAAAACCUGAUCUGUUCUAGCCUGAAUACUGAACUGAGACUGGGAGAGCUAUCAUGUAAUUAACAUGCCCCGAUCUGAGCCAAUCAAGGUCCAACCUAUAACCCCAGUUAAAAGGGUGUUAGUACCUUGCCAUGGGUACUAACACUUGCUGAUGAUCUGGAUCCAUAAGGCUGAUGUCUCGAAGGACUAGGGAGUCACCCCUCUACUAGCACGUACCCUUAAAAUAUUGUCAACCCUCUACUGGCAGGAUGACCUCUAAUACCUACGCUACCUACAUAGUUCUAGAACUCAGGGACUUCUACUAAAUGUUACACCCUCUGCUGGUACGUAAGCCCCUAUCCCUAGGUUCACUUGGUGCUAAAUUCUACUACCAACUGAACUGACACUAUUAUUAUUAUUGGUUUAAUAUGAUGUGGUAAUGUACUGAUAAGUGCUCAUCGUGAACAUGAUAUUCUAAAUAUAGUAAUACAAUUUUAUUUUGACUGACUUAUUACUUGAAACCUAAAACAUAUAAAAACAAAUUGGUAUCAGGUGUUCAUAACCCUCAAUGAUACUUUAAAUAUGAUAACAUCAUUUAAACCACUGGUAUAAAAUCAUAAUUCAGGGACCCAAAACAUAAAAUAGUUCACUAUACUGAUGUAUUACAUGAAUUUGAACAUAGGAAUGAGUUAAACUUGGGAGGAUAACAUGCUCAUAUGGUUUAGUUCAUAGCUUGAUAAUUUAACAUGUGAUCAAUUGAAUGUGACAUGGGUAAUUGAAAUUCAAAGAAAAAAAUAACCUAAUUCACAUGGAUAAACAUGUUGACAUAACUUGAAUUCAAAUUACUAAGAAAAAUGGAUUAAAUUAACUAUUUACAUAGAUAAUUUUACAAAAAGAAUUAAAAAUUCAUACUUGAAGGAAAAAGGUAUUUGGGAAUCAAGGGGUGGAAGUAACCCAUUGAAGAAUACCUUAUAUACUUCAAUUGUCUGAACUCUUGAAGAAGUCUUGAAAUUCAAACUUUAAUCCUUGAUUGUUGGGGAUGAAAUCUUGAAUUUCUUGUUCAUGAGAGAGGGGUAAGGGUUUAUGUAAGUUAUCUGAUGGAGAAUGAGCAAACAAUGUCCUUUUAGGCGUUAAAAAUCAUGUAUUGUAUGUUUAGGGUAAGGGGUAAAGACCAAAUUUCCCCCUAAACAUUUAGUUGAAACAUAGGAAAAAUGCAGCCGCUGCGGCGCGGAGGCUAGUUUUUGUGAUGGCUUCCGCGGCGCGGCCCUAACGCAGAGGCUUGCUGCCUUCGUGGUCAAAAAUGCCUUGAACACCUUUCAAAAAUUCUAAAAUUCAUCCGGGACACCCCUUUAUCAUCUCUAAACAUGCUUUAACCAAAUAAAUCAAUGUCUCAAUUUUGGGAAGGCCAAAAAUAAAAUUCGUGAAAUCUUGGGGUCUUGAAAUUGACUAAUUCCCUUUUUACUUAGUGUAAAACUUGUGGCAUAGACCGAUUAAACAUGCUACUAAGAUCUGAAAUGUUCCUAUAAUCUUCUGGGAUUAUACGAUGAUGUUUAUGUGGAAAUUAUAAGUGAUUCUGAUCAGCAAAUUUCCAUUCAAAAAAAAAUUCUAGAGGAUCAAAAAAUAUGCUAAUUUCUAUGAUUUAUGCUAUGUGCACAGAAUCUCAAAGAAAUUCACUAUGGAAUAGCAUAUAUAAUCUAGCUAAUAUUAA
rnacentral:lncRNA from 1 species